rnacentral:rRNA from 1 species
UACGGAGGGUGCGAGCGUUGUCCGGAAUCAUUGGGCGUAAAGGGCGCGUAGGUGGCCUGCUAAGCGUGCGGUGAAAGUCGGGGGCUCAACCCCCGAUCGGCCGUGCGAACUGGGAGGCUUGAGCACUGUAGAGGCAGGCGGAAUUCCGGGUGUAGCGGUGGAAUGCGUAGAGAUCCGGAAGAACACCGGUGGCGAAGGCGGUCUGCUGGGGUGAGGCUGACGCUGGAUGCGCGACAGCGUGGGGAGCAAACGAGG